rnacentral:rRNA from 1 species
GUGUCAGCAGCCGCGGUAAGACGUAGGGCGCGAGCGUUGUCCGGAUUUAUUGGGCGUAAAGAGCUCGUAGGCGGCUUGUCGCGUCGACCGUGAAAACUUGGGGCUCAACCCCAAGCCUGCGGUCGAUACGGGCAGGCUAGAGUUCGGUAGGGGAGACUGGAAUUCCUGGUGUAGCGGUGAAAUGCGCAGAUAUCAGGAGGAACACCGGUGGCGAAGGCGGGUCUCUGGGCCGAUACUGACGCUGAGGAGCGAAAGCGUGGGGAGCGAACAGGAUUAGAUACCCUGGUAGUCCACGCUGUAAACGUUGGGCGCUAGGUGUGGGGGGCCUCUCCGGUUCCCUGUGCCGCAGCUAACGCAUUAAGCGCCCCGCCUGGGGAGUACGGCCGCAAGGCUAAA